GUUGAGAUCAAUACUUAUUGUGGUAUC
rnacentral:sRNA from 1 species